AGUACAAUUUAAGGCACAUGUUAUGAACUUCCUUGAAUAGAAUUGUGCAACAUAACGUCAGAGAAGAGACAGGAAUACCUUGUGUAAAAGAACUGGAGAAAAUCAACCAUUUUAAUUGGCAUUAGAGCAUAGACGAGUAAUGUUCGCAGUAACACUAGUUCUUCUUGUUUGCAUAUGCAAAUCUGCAAUGUGCUUACCGUGUUUGACUGAGGAAUCAAAGAAAAGCUUCAAUGACACCAGAAAAGCUCUGACUGCACUGGAAACAUACAUUGGAGAGACUAUCAGUACCUUAGAGAGUAAUUUGGGAAAGUUGAAAAGUGAUGUUGGGAGCAAAAUUAAGAAUCUUAAUGGUAAAAUUAAUGUUUUGGAAGAUGAUUUCAGCAAACAGCAGUGGUUGAAAUAUAAUGGACAUUGUUAUUAUUAUGCUAACGAACAAUGUGGUUGGUUUACA